UAGCAAUACUUAGUGGCAGACGGGUGAGUAACAUGUGGGUAUCUGCCCUUUGGCCUGGAAUAACACGAGGAAACUUGUGCUAAUACCGGAUAAGUCUUUACGGAGAAAGCUUUAUGCACCAUUGGAUGAGCCCGCACUUGAUUAGUUUGUUGGUGGGGUAAUGGCCUACCAAGACUGUGAUCAAUAGCUGAUUUGAGAGGAUGAUCAGCCACAUUGGGACUGAGACACGGCCCAAACUCCUACGGGAGGCAGCAGUGGGGAAUCUUGCACAAUGGAGGAAACUCUGAUGCAGCGAUGCCGCGUGAGUGAAGGAGGCCCUUGGGUUGUAAAGCUCUUUCGUCGGGGAAGAAAAUGACUGUACCCGAAUAAGAAGGUCCGGCUAACUUCGUGCCAGCAGCCGCGGUAUACGAAGGGACCUAGCGUAGUUCGGAAUUACUGGGCUUAAAGAGUUCGUAGGUGGUUGAAAAAGUUAGUGGUGAAAUCCCAGAGCUUAACUCUGGAACUGCCAUUAAAACUUUUCAGCUAGAGUAUGAUAGAGGAAAGCAGAAUUUCUAGUGUAGAGGUGAAAUUCGUAGAUAUUAGAAAGAAUACCAAUUGCGAAGGCAGCUUUCUGGAUCAUUACUGACACUGAGGAACGAAAGCAUGGGUAGCGAAGAGGAUUAGAUACCCUCGUAGUCCAUGCCGUAAACGAUGUGUGUUAGACGUUGGAAAUUUAUUUUCAGUGUCGCAGCGAAAGCGAUAAACACACCGCCUGGGGAGUACGACCGCAAGGUUAAAACUCAAAGGAAUUGACGG
rnacentral:rRNA from 1 species